AUCACAUGUGAAACUUCGUUCUACCAAUGGUCACCAAUCAAAACGCUGAACAAAAUUAAAGUCUCUACUCUCUAAAACAAUAACGAAACGCUUGUUGAUUUUCGUGUUUAUUAAUGUCUUACAGUCUUACACUCUUUUAAAAGGUAAACUUUACGGUGAACAACUGGGAAAGUCGAAUAAAAAACGAAACAUAAAUUUGGGCCAACAAAUUUGGCGGGAAAUUUAGCAGAGAGCGCGCAAUUUUUUGUCUGAGCCCGCACUGUACUCCUUCGCCUGUUCGCCGAAACUUCAUGUUAGUUUAUAUGGAAAUUCAAAAAUUUAAAUGGCGGGGGCAACAGCUUCAGUGGCGCUAGAAACAGCGAUCAAUAAGGGACUUCUUGGCCCCUCGAAGUCAAUAGAACUAAAACCUGGGCAGCCACAACCUUUGGGAUUGUUUUACGACUUGGUUGUUUUUGAAAGAGGUCUGAAGGAUGUUCAAAAUGCAUUUGGAGCAGGUAUGACCGUAUGACACUAUGACCUAGUCAAAAUAUUUCUAAUUAAUUUAAUGUGUUUUAAGAAUUUGGAAUAUUUAGGUAUAAUAAUUUGUGACAUUGCAGAUCAUAGGUUGUACUUCAAUAGAUGAUAGAUUAUAGUUUUUGGAUCAAACAUUCUGAUAAUUGUGCCGAGAUGGGCGAAAUGCAGGGUGCCACCAAGUGAAAUGCAAGAACUAAGUUAUUCAAGUCCACCUUGCAUUCCAAUGAUUCCAUGUUAAGAGGCAAUUUUUUUCAAUGUCACGUAUUUGCAAUGAAAAGUGUUCAAAACCUAAAAUCUUUUUGGCGUUCCUCUCAAAAUUACUUUGUUUUAGCUUUAUUCUCUAGUUUAUAGAGUUAGAUACCUUUUUAAAUGCAUCUGGCGGUUGAAAAUAAUAAUUAAAAAUUGUCAAUUAAAAUACAAUUAUCAACGAUGCUUUAAAAUUGACGCCAUAUUUACAGUCAUAUAAGCAAAACUUACUGAACUUCAGACAUCAUUUUCUUUUUGGCAUGU